CACGCUUUUUUCUUUCACCGGAGCUUGCUCCACCGAAAGAAAAGGAGUGGCGAACGGGUGAGUAACACGUGGGUAACCUGCCCAUCAGAAGGGGAUAACACUUGGAAACAGGUGCUAAUACCGUAUAACAAUCGAAACCGCAUGGUUUUGAUUUGAAAGGCGCUUUCGGGUGUCGCUGAUGGAUGGACCCGCGGUGCAUUAGCUAGUUGGUGAGGUAACGGCUCACCAAGGCCACGAUGCAUAGCCGACCUGAGAGGGUGAUCGGCCACAUUGGGACUGAGACACGGCCCAAACUCCUACGGGAGGCAGCAGUAGGGAAUCUUCGGCAAUGGACGAAAGUCUGACCGAGCAACGCCGCGUGAGUGAAGAAGGUUUUCGGAUCGUAAAACUCUGUUGUUAGAGAAGAACAAGGAUGAGAGUAACUGUUCAUCCCUUGACGGUAUCUAACCAGAAAGCCACGGCUAACUACGUGCCAGCAGCCGCGGUAAUACGUAGGUGGCAAGCGUUGUCCGGAUUUAUUGGGCGUAAAGCGAGCGCAGGCGGUUUCUUAAGUCUGAUGUGAAAGCCCCCGGCUCAACCGGGGAGGGUCAUUGGAAACUGGGAGACUUGAGUGCAGAAGAGGAGAGUGGAAUUCCAUGUGUAGCGGUGAAAUGCGUAGAUAUAUGGAGGAACACCAGUGGCGAAGGCGACUCUCUGGUCUGUAACUGACGCUGAGGCUCGAAAGCGUGGGGAGCAAACAGGAUUAGAUACCCUGGUAGUCCACGCCGUAAACGAUGAGUGCUAAGUGUUGGAGGGUUUCCGCCCUUCAGUGCUGCAGCUAACGCAUUAAGCACUCCGCCUGGGGAGUACGACCGCAAGGUUGAAACUCAAAGGAAUUGACGGGGGCCCGCACAAGCGGUGGAGCAUGUGGUUUAAUUCGAAGCAACGCGAAGAACCUUACCAGGUCUUGACAUCCUUUGACCACUCUAGAGAUAGAGCUUCCCCUUCGGGGGCAAAGUGACAGGUGGUGCAUGGUUGUCGUCAGCUCGUGUCGUGAGAUGUUGGGUUAAGUCCCGCAACGAGCGCAACCCUUAUUGUUAGUUGCCAUCAUUAAGUUGGGCACUCUAGCAAGACUGCCGGUGACAAACCGGAGGAAGGUGGGGAUGACGUCAAAUCAUCAUGCCCCUUAUGACCUGGGCUACACACGUGCUACAAUGGGAAGUACAACGAGUCGCGAAGUCGCGAGGCCUAAGCUAAUCUCUUAAAGCUUCUCUCAGUUCGGAUUGUAGGCUGCAACUCGCCUUUACNAANUUGG
rnacentral:rRNA from 1 species